UAACCUGCCUUAUAGUGGGGGAGUAGCCUUUCGAAAGGAAGAUUAAUACCGCAUAAGAUUGUAGUAUCGCAUGAUAUAGCAAUUAAAAGGAGCAAUUCGCUAUAAGAUGGACCCGCGUCGCAUUAGCUAGUUGGUGAGGUAAUGGCUCACCAAGGCGACGAUGCGUAGCCGACCUGAGAGGGUGAUCGGCCACAUUGGGACUGAGACACGGUCCAGACUCCUACGGGAGGCAGCAUG
rnacentral:rRNA from 1 species